rnacentral:rRNA from 1 species
GACGAACGCUGGCGGCGUGCUUAACACAUGCAAGUCGAACGGAAAGGCCCUGCUUUUGUGGGGUGCUCGAGUGGCGAACGGGUGAGUAACACGUGAGUAACCUGCCCUUGACUUUGGGAUAACUUCAGGAAACUGGGGCUAAUACCGGAUAGGAGCUCCUGCUGCAUGGUGGGGGUUGGAAAGUUUCGGCGGUUGGGGAUGGACUCGCGGCUUAUCAGCUUGUUGGUGGGGUAGUGGCUUACCAAGGCUUUGACGGGUAGCCGGCCUGAGAGGGUGACCGGCCACAUUGGGACUGAGAUACGGCCCAGACUCCUACGGGAGGCAGCAGUGGGGAAUAUUGCACAAUGGGCGGAAGCCUGAUGCAGCAACGCCGCGUGCGGGAUGACGGCCUUCGGGUUGUAAACCGCUUUCGCCUGUGACGAAGCGUGAGUGACGGUAAUGGGUAAAGAAGCACCGGCUAACUACGUGCCAGCAGCCGCGGUGAUACGUAGGGUGCGAGCGUUGUCCGGAUUUAUUGGGCGUAAAGGGCUCGUAGGUGGUUGAUCGCGUCGGAAGUGUAAUCUUGGGGCUUAACCCUGAGCGUGCUUUCGAUACGGGUUGACUUGAGGAAGGUAGGGGAGAAUGGAAUUCCUGGUGGAGCGGUGGAAUGCGCAGAUAUCAGGAGGAACACCAGUGGCGAAGGCGGUUCUCUGGGCCUUUCCUGACGCUGAGGAGCGAAAGCGUGGGGAGCGAACAGGCUUAGAUACCCUGGUAGUCCACGCUGUAAACGGUGGGUACUAGGUGUGGGGCCCAUUCCACGGGUUCCGUGCCGUAGCUAGCGCUUUAAGUACCCCGCCUGGGGAGUACGGCCGCAAGGCUAAAACUCAAAGGAAUUGACGGGGCCCCGCACAAGCGGCGGAGCAUGCGGAUUAAUUCGAUGCAACGCGUAGAACCUUACCUGGGUUUGACAUGGAUCGGGAGUGCUCAGAGAUGGGUGUGCCUCUUUUGGGGUCGGUUCACAGGUGGUGCAUGGCUGUCGUCAGCUCGUGUCGUGAGAUGUUGGGUUAAGUCCCGCAACGAGCGCAACCCUUGUUCACUGUUGCCAGCACGUUAUGGUGGGGACUCAGUGGAGACCGCCGGGGUCAACUCGGAGGAAGGUGGGGAUGACGUCAAGUCAUCAUGCCCCUUAUGUCCAGGGCUUCACGCAUGCUACAAUGGCUGGUACAGAGAGUGGCGAGCCUGUGAGGGUGAGCGAAUCUCGGAAAGCCGGUCUCAGUUCGGAUUGGGGUCUGCAACUCGACCUCAUGAAGUCGGAGUCGCUAGUAAUCGCAGAUCAGCAACGCUGCGGUGAAUACGUUCCCGGG